UGCCAGCCGCCGCGGUAAUACGGAGGGGGUUAGCGUUGUUCGGAAUUACUGGGCGUAAAGCGCACGUAGGCGGACUGGAAGGUUGGGGGUGAAAUCCCAGGGCUCAACCCUGGAACUGCCUCCAAAACUAUCAGUCUAGAGUUCGAGAGAGGUGAGUGGAAUUCCGAGUGUAGAGGUGAAAUUCGUAGAUAUUAGAAGGAACAUCAGAGGCGAAGGCGGCUUUCUGGUCCGAUACUGACGCUGAGGUACGAAAGCGUGGGGAGCAAACAGGAUUAGAUA
rnacentral:rRNA from 1 species